CAAUAGCGUAUAUUUAAGUUGUUGCAGUUAAAAAGCUCGUAGUUGGAUUUCGGAUGGGACUUGCCGGUCCGUCGUUUCGAUGUGCACUGGCCAGUCCUAUCUUGUUGUCGGGGACUAGCUCCUGGGCUUCACUGUCCGGGACUAGGAGCUGACGAGGUUACUUUGAGUAAAUUAGAGUGUUCAAAGCAAGCCUACGCUCUGAAUACAUUAGCAUGGAAUAACACGAUAGGACUCUGGCUUAUCUUGUUGGUCUGUGAGACCAGAGUAGUGAUUAAGAGGGACAGUCGGGGGCAUUCGUAUUUCAUUGUCAGAGGUGAAAUUCUUGGAUUUAUGAAAGACGAACUUCUGCGAAAGCAUUUGUCAAGGAUGUUUUCAUUAA
rnacentral:rRNA from 1 species